UGUGGGAGCGGGCUUGCCCGCGAUAGCGGUGGUUCAGUCACUGCAUCGGUGACUGGCAGACCGCCAUCGCGGGCAAGCCCGCUCCCACA
rnacentral:misc_RNA from 1 species